ensembl:lncRNA
CACAUUAAAAUGUUACUAGUUAUUUUUUUCACAUUCUCACUACAUCCUUGAACUCUCUACUGCAGGUUACAUGCUGACAUUCAAUAUCUUUCCUAGCAUUUUCUUCAUAGAUUUCCAAAUUGAUGACAAUAAGUAGAUGGACAAAAGCCAUUUUCUAUUACUUGACAUCUAUUAUUAAUUAACUGAUAUCCUCAUAUAUGACUGAGAGGUUUUUGAUUUUUAAAACCUUAAGUAACUUUUUAUUAUUGUUGAUUAUAUAUUUGAAACACUUGUGGUAUUGCUUUUUGAGUAAUAUCUAUUAUUUGCUAUUCUACAUAAUUAGUGAUGGUAGGUAAAAGUUGCAUCUUCACAUUAGUUCUAAUUCUGUGUAAUCAUUAUUUUACAUGAGAAAUUCUGCCCUUGCUAAUUGUGUAGCUAGUUGUGUUAUUGUAUGGGCAGUUUUUUCUAACCACAUUGUUGAUUAUUCUUUUAAUCCUUUUCUUACCUAUUCAGAUGCAUUUUGCCUUGAAGGUAACAAAUGUGUCCUUACCCAGAGAGGCUCCUUUUUCUCCCUGUAUACUCAAUAGCAAUUAUAAAACUCAAAAGCCAACCAUCACCCGAGGAUGAGCAGAUGAUUCAAUUUUUCAUUCACCCUGCAGCCAAAUGCUCCCUAUUGAUCAAAUGCUCCCUAUUGACUCCUCCUAGAAGCCUAUUACCUGGCUCAGUUCUCCAAGUCACUUGACUCAGCUGCCACUUCCCCCACAUCUCUCCUUGACCUUGAACUGACUGCAUCCUGUGUUCAUGCCUUCUGUCUUCUCGAUCUCUCAGUGGCUUCAGGCUCUUUCUUCCUAUCUGACAUCUUAAUGCUACACAUUCCUGCNNNNNNNNNNNNNNNNNNNNNNNNNNNNNNNNNUGCUGUAUACUACUUGAAUAACUUUAAUCCACAAGAUGCUCCAACACUUGUGCCUGCAUAAAAUCUGCUCCUUAUUUAUUCUGACUUUUAUGCUUCUCCCCUCUAGCUUUAUUCUUAAUAAUUUACAUCCCUUUGAAACCCAAAUGGCUUGUGGUCACCAGCCAUUCUGUUUCUUUGUCAUAGAUCCUCUUGACUAGUUUUUGUCCACAUUUUACUUAAACAUAUAAAUGAAAAAUCCUUUGUAUUUUCAAUAUCUUUCCCUUUUGUAUGUAUUCCUCAAUAAAUUCAUCUCAUUUCAUUUAAUUAUUACUUAUCCUUAAUUUUCUAUACUAAAUAUCCUCAUUUUUAUCUCGCUAUCUGAUGACACACCACUGUUUCUCAUCAGCAUUAAUCCAUCUUGUAACACUUCAUCUCCAUGCUUUGAGGUGGUCCAAGUUAUAACUAGAUUCUUAGUGUAGCUUAUAUUCUGAUUAUUUCUUCUCCAUUUCCUUACUGUUAUCUAAAUUUCACAUUAUUUCUCUCUGAUGUUAUUGUGUCUCUGUGUAAGUGCGUGCAUGUGUGUGACAGAUCCUUAGUAUAGUUUUUUUUUCUGUAGUAUAAUUUAUACUUUUAUUCUUCUCUGAGGUUUUUCAAUUUUAUAUUAAUUCUGGGUUUUAAUGUGAAAUCCUAACUAUCUGAUAACCUGUUGUUUUAUAAUCCACACUUUUAAUUCAUAUUGCAAUUAUUAUAUAUCUUCAAAAUACUAUAUAGGCACUUCUAAAUACACAAACUUCAUAAAACCAAGUCAUUUGCUGGGGAUGAAGAUGCAAAUGUUUACACUACCCACAAGGAGCUCAUGGUAUAUUGGGAUUACAUGAAAGGAAGCAGGAUAUUUCUCUAUAUUUUAAUGGGGGUAAAGAUAGAGGCAUGCAUAGGAUUUUGUGGGAAGCCAGAAGAGAAGCAUUUAACCUGGUAUGGAGGAAAAAUACCUGGUAGAUUACUUAGUUUCUUGAGGACAAAGACCGAUUAUCUUACUCAUUUUUCUGUACCCUGUCACAGCAUUUUUCUAUACACACUGAAGUUACCUAAGAAAUAUUCAGUGAAUGAAUGAAUAGAUAAAAUGACAUGUAUGUAGAUUUCUGGAGUGUCCUUCAUGCUUAGGAUAUACCCAACAUUUGCAAAUCAUAUAUAAAAGGCACUGAGCUUUAGGGGGACUACAGGAAUUUUGAUGUAACAUAUUUGUAGAUGCAGGAAGUUUAUCCUAAUGAGUUCAAAUACAAAGGUGAUCAGGAUCCACUAAAUGAUUUUAAGUAGGAAAGUGACAUGGUAAGGUAUAUAUUUUAGGAAAUAAUUCUGAUCUGUAAUAUGAAAAAUUUAUUUGGGCAGUAAAGAGAAGGUGCUGAGGAAGGUGUGAUGAAGAUCUUUAGGUAACACAGCUGAGAAGACAUGGUGAUCUGAUGGACUGAACUCAAUAGUAGCCAGUAUCACUAUCACUCUGAGUGACACAAUGAACUAGUGGUGGGAGGGGGAAGCAUCUAGAUUUGUUGACCCUCUAAAUAACCUUUUCUGAAUCAAAAAGAGUUUGGUAUGUUCUCUGGGGAAUAUGCCAGAUGGAGAUUAUAUUUCUUCAUCCCUGUGCAAAGUAUACAGACUCUUCAUAUUUCCUUUUCAUAAUGCACUAGUAUGAGAAAUAGUAGUCUGUGUUAGGUCUAUAUCUCCAUGAGAUGUUUCUUCCCACUUUCAACUUGAGUAUAAGCUGAGAUUUCUUUUCUUUUCAGAACAAAUCCCCUCUUGUUGUCCUUGGUGUCUCUACCUCAUUCCUGUAUAUCUAUUUAAUUUCACCUACUUCAUCAGCAGUUAUCUAUGAAAAGUUUUCAUUAUUUUCAUAUGUCUUAAUAGAAUCCUAAUCAAUAUAGCUAUCAAUUCCAAAUGAGAUGGAUAUUUUUGGAAAUAAUUACUCCAACUAAAAUUCAUAUUACAGAUAAUUAUUCUAUGUAUAGCUCUUGACAGCUAUGAGUUAAUUGUAUGUGUUUAACUGGCUUCUGGUUUUGCUAGAUAUUUCACUGCAUCAAUUUGAAAAGGGGUUAGAAUAUUAGAGUAUCUACUUAUAGCUCUAAUGGAAUGAACUCUAUGCUGCAGCUACUGUUGGUGAGUAUAAUUCCUCUUCUCUCACCAUAUAGAUUCUGAGAAGGCUCAUUUAUUUCCUCUUUAAAACUGCAGCGAACAGAGUGGAGUAUUCAUUAAAAGGAAGUACACAAAUAAGUACACUUAUUAUUAACAAACUGAUACUUGAACAAUAAUAUUCAAGCAGACUAUAGGAAGUCACUAUUAACAUGUCAAGAAAUCUCUUUUUACUGAAUAAUACAUUUAUAGAGGAAAUAGAAAUCAAUUUUAUCAUUCAGAAUAUAUUUGGAUGAGAGAUCAAUGUAAAUUUUUGAAUGUCAUUUCUCAGUCUUCAGAGAGACCAACAUUUUCUUAUUAUUAACUGUUAAAGGAAGAAAAAGACACUCUUUAGAUUUGCUUCUAGGUGGAUUGUAAUAGAAUUUCAGAUUUUAUCUUCUUAUAAAAAUUCUAGGAGUGUUCUAUUUCCAGCCUUUUGUAAAUAAAGGGAUAUGCAACCAAAUAUUUUUUUUUCCAGCAAGUGAAAAAAAAAACAAAACAAGCUUAGUCUGGUAGAAAAUACAUCUGUUUUCCAAUGAGAGAGAGAAAGUUGAAAGUGUUGAUGGGUGUCACCUCUGAAUGGUUAUUAUGAUUCUAUGAUAUGCUUACCUGAGGGGAAAAACACAGAUAAUAAGAAGGAGAGAAGCUACUGACUUAUAAAUAGAUUUCAGAUUGAAAUGCCACUUAGAAUGACAUGCCACAAGCAUUAGGACAGCAGAAUAAAUAUACAAAGAGGAGGCAAUUGCCUCUGUUUAGGGCACCCUUAUGUUUGCUUUGCCAUGGCGGUUUUCGUUUUGCCUGUGUUGUCUUGAUGGCCUGACUGGCUAAGCAUCUGUUCUUCCUCCCUUCACUAUUAAUGAAUCCAAAUUUAGACAAGCACUUAUUUUGUCACCCUACUUAUGUAUAAUAAUAUAAAAAAACAAGUUGAUAACUUUAGCUUUACAACAAUAACUGAUUUCUUUGUCCAAAAAUUUGAUAGUUAGGGUGAAAGGAAAUAAUUUUCUUAAAAGUUUAGCUCUUUUUGACCUCUGAUUCACAUAUGUUCUGCCUUUGAGUACUCCCAAAUAUGGGAGCCAAAAUUAGUCUUUCUUUCCCAUUGUGAACACCCUUUUUUUUUGGCUUUUUAGGGCUGGACCUGCAGCAUAUGGAGGUUCCCAGGCUAGGGGUCAAUUCGGAGCUGCAGCUGGUGGCCAACACCACAGCCACAGCAAUGCCAGAUCUGAGCUGCGUUCACAACCCACACCACAGUCCACGACAAUGCUGGAUCCCCAACCCACUGAGCUAGGCCAGGGAUCGAACCCACAUCCCCCUGGAUACUAGUCAUAUUUGUUUCCACUGAGCCACGACAGGAACGCCACCUUUUUUGAAUAUAUCUCCCAAAUCAAGAAAAAUACUUUGAAAAUACACAUUGGACAGCAACAUACAUUAUUAAUUUUCAAUAUAUAGAAUUGUAUGUCAAAGAUCAUGUUUUGGUCAACUAAAAAUUUAAAAAAAAAUUGUGGAUUCUUUCUCUGACAUUGGAAAAUAGUAAAAAGGACAUAGAUCCUCUUUACCAAGAUGACAGUUCACUGCACCUGUUUGUCAGCUCUAUUCUCUCCUCAAAUCUUCUCUAGUCAUAAUUACUACUUCCUUUUAAGUGUUCCAGCCUCCCAACCAGCAGAAUAGCAUUCACCUGGUUGUUUAUACUUUCAAGUUUCUUUACUCUGACUCCAGUUACAACCUUUGCAAAAAGUACUAAAAAUGAACUUGCUGGUUAAAAUUUCCUUUCCUUCACUGAAUUUCUGAUUUUACUUCUGCAGUGUACCACUGAUGACAUCCCACCCCUGGUAUGUGGUAUGUUAAAAUAUUUUUAAAACCCUAAUUCCCUGAGUUCUUCUGUGGCUCAGCAGGUUAAGGACUUGGCAUUGUCCCUGCUGUGGCUCUGGUCAGUGUCGUGGUGCAGGUUUGAUCCCUGGCUCAGGAACUUCCAUAUGCCAUGGGCACAGCCAAGAAGAGUGAAAAAAAACCAAAACAGCAGCAACAACAAAAACACCUAAUUCCUUCUAUUGCUGUUUUUCUUGAUCUUCUAGAUUGUUAAGUCUUUAUUCCAGGAACUGGUAAAUAUAUAAACUUUGGUCAUAUACAAGUAUUUCUAAGCCUUUGCAUCUUUCUAAAUUCCAAUAUGCACAAACUUCCUCUACUUCACUGUUCAGUAAGUCCAAAUCUACACUGGUACUAUUGUUCUGCACUCAUCAUGGUACGUUACUGAUAAAUGAUCUGGGGCUUGAUAAGUAGUUUUUAUGUUUUCUGACUGGAUUGACUUAUUUCAUCUGCUGCUAGAUUUACCUGGAAAUACAUAGGCAACCUUAAAAAUAUUUAAGCUAAGGAGAGUUCCCUAAAUAAUUUGGCAGUUAUGUUAUCUACACGUUCAUGUUAAUUUUAUGGCCUCAGUAAGUGCAGCUAUUGGCUUUUUUUUGUGGGGGGGAGGUAUCCUACUUUAAUAUGGAAAUUUAUAGUUACAUGAAUGAAUCAAAAUGCAAUUUAAACAUUACAAAAGCCUUAAACAACCCUCUGUUUAAACUUAACCCACAAACUUAAUGUGAUUCAUGUGUGCAUGUAUUUGAAUGUGUGUGUGUGUGUGUGUGUGUGUGUGUGUGUGUGUGUGUGUGUGUGUGUAUUAUAGUUGAUUUACAAUAUUUCUUCAAUUUCUCUUGUACAGCAAAAUGGCCCAAUCACACACAGUUCACUGUGCUGCACAAUAGGAGCUCAUUGCCCAUCCAUUCCAAAUGUUACAGUUUCACCAACCCCAAACUCCCCAUCCAUCUCACUCCCCUCUCCCUUCCCCUGGCAACUGCAAGUUGCUCUCCAUGUCCAUGAUCUCUUUAUUUUGUAGAUAGGAUUAUUUGUGCCAUAUUUUAGAUUCCACAUGUAAGUGAUAUCAUAUGGUUUUUGUCUUUCUCUUUCUGACUUACAUCAGAUUAAUAGGUUAGCUUUUGUUUAAUAGAGUGAAUCCCAAUAAGAGACAUCGUAAACCCAUAAAGUUUUAAAGAUUUCAUAUGUACAAACAUUGACAGUAUGGAACGAGAUAGAGAUAUUUCAAAAUGGAUCCCCAAAUUUUUCAACAAGUAGUAAGCUUGGUAGACUACUCAGAUUCAAACAUGUGCCAGUCUUCAUGAAGAAAGAGGGAUGGCCCAAAGAAUAGAAAAAUUGCCCCAGCGAGUGGAACCAAGAACUGUAGAUAAUCACAUGUCUUUGGGAAGAUUUGUGAUUAUGUAAUCAACUAUACUAUAAUAAAAAUUUUUUUAAAAAUCAGUAG